rnacentral:rRNA from 1 species
GACGGAGGGGCAAGCGUUGUCCGGACUCACUGGCGUAAAGGGCGCGUGAGGCGGCUUGUCGCGUCGACCGUGAAACUCGCAGCUCAACUGCGAGCCUGCGGUCGAAUACGGGCAGGCUAGAGUAUGGGAGGAGGUAGUGGAAUUCCGGUGUAGCGGUGAAAUGCGUAGAUAUCGGGAGGAACAUCAGUGGCGAAGGCGGCUACCUGGCCCAAUACUGACACUCAGGUGCGACAGCGAUGG